rnacentral:rRNA from 1 species
AUGGGCUGGCCAGGGCUGAAUGGUAGCCCUGUUUUGUACCAGUGGUACGCCACCAUCACGCCCUCGACGGCCCCGGAACCCUUUAGCCUGAUCUGGGACAUCCGCCUCCCUCUGAAGAUCAGGAUCUUCCUGUGGCAAUGGAUCCGUGGACGCCUCCCCUCCGGGGUUUAAGUCCUCAAGCGUAACGGCCCGGGCGAUGGGAUAUGUCCCAUCUGUGUCACGACCAAGGAUGCUAACCACAUCUUCUUCUCGUGCUCUACUGCCCAGUUUAUGUGGGCUUGCUUCCGCGAAAUGGUCGGUGGACAGUGGUGCAAUACCAACUUCCCCGACCUACUUGCGGAACUCAACGCCUCCCCUACUCGCUUUCGCCAUACGAGAUGGCCGUGCAUUGGGAUCCUCGCCUGGACGCUUUGGAACAUUCGCAACAAGCUUGUCAUUCAGAAGGCGCCUCUCCGACGUGCGACUGACGCUAUCUUCAAAAUGUGUGGUUACUUGUAG